UGUGUUGUCCUGGUGCAUAAUCAAGUUUUAGCUGCACCACUUCCCUGGAUGUUUUUUUUUCCUGGAAUUCGUCCACUUUAGCAAUUCUUCUUCCCUUUGGUCUCAAUUUGAAUUUCAGGAACUAAGGUAGUGAGAUCUGGCAAAUAUGAAGAAUACAAAGCGACAGACUCAUCGAUUUUGGUCAAAAACUCGUUCACACCGUGGUGUGUGUAGGCAGGGCCGGAUUUUCCUAUAGGCUAACUAGGCUUCAGCCUAGGGCCUCAAGAUCAAGAGGGGCCUACAUUCAAAUUGUUAGCAAAAUUUUAUUAUCUCUCAUGUAAUUUACAAACUUAAAAAUGGAAGGUGAAAGGGCCUCAUAAGUGGAAUAGCCUAGGGCCUCUUUUCAUAUAAAUCCGGCCCUGUGUGUAGGUGCGUUGUCCUGGUGCACCACCACUUCUUUUUUUUUUUCUUUUUCCUGGAUUUCUUCCAUGGUGGCAAGUCUUCUUCCCUUUCGACUCGACUUGAAUUUCCAGGAAAGAAGGGAGCGAGAUCUGGCGAGCACAAAGGAUGCAAAGCAGCAACCUCAUCGUUUUGGGUCAAAAACUCUUUGACGCUGUGGUGCGUGCAGGUGCGUUAUCCUGGUGCAUAAUCCAGUUUUGGGUGCAUCGCUUCUCCGGAUGUUUCUUUCUGAUGUUCUCCUGUGGAUGCCUCAGCAGUUUGAUGCGAUGUCACUAAAGAAGACCCGGCCCAGACUCUAUGAGCGGUCGAUAUCAAAACAACGUGGUCAUCAUUGUCUCUUGAAGAUCUGCCAUGUUGGCUUGAAGGAAGAACAGAAAUCGGACAAGUCUUGUGUGCGGCUGUAGAGUCAAUGGCAGACGUACGCACCCGCUCAGCUGUGCGUGGUACAAAUCAGCACCCCCUACUCCCGGGCUAUUGACCGAUUUUGGGAAUUUUUGGGUCCCCCGAAAAUAUUUGUGGUUAUUUUUCAUGCAUUUGAAAGAUUUUAUGCCUUGAUGGGCUGCAGACAUCAGAAAACGUGGCCCCUAAACGCGUCAUGGGUUCAUAGCCCUCUGGACGGAGUACCCCCCCCCUUCCAUGUUUGUGUGCAACUUCUAGCGCAGUCCAGACACGCUUGACGUCACAAAGUCAUCACGCCGGCGUGCCCCAUGAGACGACAGGCAGUCCAAUUACCCAGGGUGCAGUUGACCAAUUUUGAGAAUUUUUAGGCCCCCCCCCCCACCUCAUGCGUUGCCCCUCCACAAACCCUAACCGUAACCCUCAUACAUUGCCCUGCACUAAAAUCACCUUUCAUACUGUACCCAUGGCGUAUGUAAGCUAAGCAAUUAUUUAGGGGUCCACCAUACCCCACCGAGGAGAAGGUUGAGGGUCCCAAAAGGGUUAGAAAAAGCUCCGGCUGUCACCGACUAUCCUUCUGUCUUCCAGUACUCAGGGGAGCAAACACGCCUGUCCCGACCACGCUUGAGCGGGGGGGUACAGGACAGGGACGCUCGGCACACCUCUUGAAGACCACAAGUCUCGACCACCUGGGGCGAACGCUAGCAAAAGACCAAGGGUAUAGCGGCUUUCACAAUUUCCUUUGUCACAGACUGCCGUGUGAGGGUCUUUAGCGCAUUUCACAAUGAAAGCUGCCCCCCCCCCCACCUCCCAGGGUGCUUAAGGCAAGACUCACAGAUUGGGCAUAUAGCGCCUUUCACCAUAGCGUGGACCCGGAAAGCAGACUGAGGUGUUGUGUGCGCUGCGACGGAAGGCUUCAUGGUAAAGCCUUCAGGGCAAUGGUGGUCCGGGAGCGCUUUGAUGUUUGCUUAGAGGGUCGUCACCGUCGAUAUUCUGUAAAGGGGAAUGGGUGGGCGCGCCACGCCUCCCCCGGACCACGGCCCGUUCAAAACACGCUAGGGACGUGAAUCAACUGAAUGGAGCGCCCAGGUGGUCUCAUCAGAUGGAUCUCCCGCUUCGGAGCACCAACGUCAGGCGUGGACGUCCCCCCCACCACCACCACUACAAUCCCACCGACUCGUCACCUUUGUGUUCGGAUCUUUUCUUUUUCUUUUUUUUGACACUUUGGUUUGCAGUUCACCAGUGGACUGACUGCUGUGAUGUUCGAUGUCUCCAUCCGUCGCCUUCUUUCUGUUUCUGUAACGGCCACGACAAGCUUGUGGUGCGGAGAUUCCGAUGUUUGUACAUACCUAUAAAUAUAUGCACAGAGUAUAAAGAAGUACAGAAAGACAUGCGUAUAUAAAAAAAAAGAAUUAGAUUUUCAAAGCUGCAUUGAUCUUAGUAAAAUGGAUUCUGAUUA